rnacentral:lncRNA from 1 species
AUUUUACCAAUAGCGGAAAGUAAAGGCUUUCCUAGUUGGGACAGCAUAUAGGGAAACGUUAAGGAUUAUAGGCACCGGAGAGGUAACCCGGCUUGAGGGGUUGGUUAAAGGGAAAGGCGAGACUUAGGGCGAGACCGAGCGGGGCUAAUUGAGGCGACGCGGGGAGGGGCGGACCGCGGACUGGAUUUCGACUUCCAAAUUCCCACGAGGUAUAGGAGUCUGAGGGUUGCACAGGACGUUAUGCAUUGUUUGACUCCUCCAGAGCCUUUAGAGAAACUUCUAUCAGGCCCGCCUGCUAGGCACUAGUCGGGGAGAUAAUGUAGCCAGGGAGAUGUGGCGGACAGAAAGGGCAGAGAGGCUCUCUGAGGAGCGGAUGGAGGAUCGUGGGCCGCUUUACUGAGAAGGAAGAGACCCUGCGAGAAGGAGUAGUGUCGACUUGGUCCCGUCAGCCGGACCCCACCUGGCCGGCUGGGGCCACUUGUGGUCGCCGGGAGGGAAAAGAAACUAUCUGCAAAGGAAGAUUCUCAUGCACAGAUUGAAACCCUCUGAGAUAUCAACCCCCUAGGUAAG